rnacentral:rRNA from 1 species
UACAGAGGUCCCAAGCGUUGUUCGGAUUCACUGGGCGUAAAGGGUGCGUAGGCGGCGCGGUAAGUCGGGUGUGAAAUCUCGGGGCUUAACUCCGAAACUGCAUUCGAUACUGCCGUGCUUGAGGACUGGAGAGGAGACUGGAAUUUACGGUGUAGCGGUGAAAUGCGUAGAUAUCGUAAGGAAGACCAGUGGCGAAGGCGGGUCUCGUGGACAGUUCCUGACGCUGAGGCACGAAGGUCAGGGGAGCAAACGGG